rnacentral:pre_miRNA from 1 species
CCAUUCCCAUCACAUCAUCUAUGAUCUCUUUCUAAUUAUUUAAUGACAUUUCAGGAAUCAUUUUCCAUGUUAUUGACAUAUAAUUUUGGUGAUUUUUUAACCCUGAAUUUUGAACCCAAACUGUAAAUCUCAAACCCUAAACCUCGAACCCUAAGCCCAAGUUUAAGAUUCAAUGUUUGGGGUUAGAGUUCAAGAUUUGAAAUUCGAGUUUGAGGUUCAUGAUUUAGAAUUUAGGGUCAAGGUUCGGGAUUAGAGAUUUAGGGUAAAAAAAUUACUAAAAUUAUGUGUCAAUGACAUGGAAAAAAUUGUUGAAAUGCCAUUAUAUAAUUAGAAAGGGACCAUGGAUGAUGUGUUAGAAGAG